rnacentral:rRNA from 1 species
ACGAGAGGACCGGGAUGGACAUACCUCUGGUGUACCAGUUGUCGUGCCAACGGCAUAGCUGGGUAGCUAUGUAUGGACGGGAUAAGUGCUGAAAGCAUCUAAGCAUGAAGCCCCCCUCAAGAUGAGAUUUCCCAACUUCGGUUAUAAGAUCCCUCGAAGAUGACGAGGUUAAUAGGUUCGAGGUGGAAGCGUGGUGACACGUGGAGCUGACGAAUACUAAUCGAUCGAAGACUUAAUCAA